rnacentral:rRNA from 1 species
GAUGAACGCUGGCGGCGUGCCUAAUACAUGCAAGUCGAGCGAACAGACGAGGAGCUUGCUCCUCUGAUGUUAGCGGCGGACGGGUGAGUAACACGUGGAUAACCUACCUAUAAGACUGGGAUAACUUCGGGAAACCGGAGCUAAUACCGGAUAAUAUAUUGAACCGCAUGGUUCAAAAGUGAAAGACGGUUUUGCUGUCACUUAUAGAUGGAUCCGCGCUGCAUUAGCUAGUUGGUAAGGUAACGGCUUACCAAGGCAACGAUGCGUAGCCGACCUGAGAGGGUGAUCGGCCACACUGGAACUGAGACACGGUCCAGACUCCUACGGGAGGCAGCAGUAGGGAAUCUUCCGCAAUGGGCGAAAGCCUGACGGAGCAACGCCGCGUGAGUGAUGAAGGUCUUCGGAUCGUAAAACUCUGUUAUUAGGGAAGAACAAAUGUGUAAGUAACUGUGCACAUCUUGACGGUACCUAAUCAGAAAGCCACGGCUAACUACGUG